UCAUUUCAUUAAAAUCAUCGUCUUUACCCUUUGGACCAGUGUGGUUACUUGCAUUCCUCCUGUGUUUCCUUCCCUAUAUUUUUGAACCUUAACAUUUGGGGGCUUCGUCCGAGGGGGGAAGUGAGACAGGAUGGAGAAAGGUCCGAGGCGUCAGGCGCUCAGGCAUUGGUCAGUGGUCAAAGUGAGUGACAAGCCGGCAUAUAACAAAAAGGCCUGGAAGAGAGUGAAUGGACGGCGCUGACAAAAUUACCAAGUACGAAAAUCAGGUGGGCAUUACGGAAUUAUAAUUGAUUACAAUCAGAGACUGAUUGGCGGCGAGUCUCUGUCUAAAAAUGGGUUGUAUCGAUUCAAUCCAGUCAAAAGUAUAGAGAACUAUUUUCCUAAAAAGGAAAACGAAACGAAACAAAUGCAAAUGAUUGAGCUCAUUUUGCUGAUGUGGAGCAUCUGAUGACGUGCGCGGAAGGCUGCAGAUCAGCAAAAAUAUCAUGUGAAUGCAUGGGAGUGAAUGUGAGUGGUUGGACCAAGGGGGAAAUAAAUAAAAGGUUGACAAACAGGAGAAGUGGAAGACUUAAAUCUGGGGAUGCUGAUGUUCCUUUGGGUGAAUUUCUGCUUUGUUGAUUUGGGUUAGACCAUAUUGAUACAUUAUAAAAUGCUAAAAGGGAAACAUUGAUGUAACUUAAGUUACCAUUAACUGAGGUAACACAUGAUUAAUAACUGUUUUGUUUAAGUUUAUUUUGUGUCAUGACACAGACUAGAUCAUAAAGGGAGAGUUGAGUAUGAAAUGUAAGGCACAGGUUUUGUUUUCAGGAAAUUCCAAGGAUCCAGACUUUGCAUGGAGCAACGAUUUUGAGGAGAUUUGACAUGAUGAUAAAAUUGAUUUUGUUCCUUAAACACAGGUUUUCAGGGCUGGAGCAAAACACCGGAGAGGAGAAUUGCUGAGCUGUUCUGGGAAAUGAAAUGACUAACCUUUUUUCCUUUUGAUUUGUUAAGCUUGGGUGAAGCAUGUUGAGUUUUUUGCCACAUGAGAUGUGUCAAAAAAGAGAGGGAUUUAAGAUUUAAUUUGUUUAAUGUGAAAGGGGUUUUACUAGGAUUUUAUAACGAUUGGGGUUGUUUGAUAAUCUAGAUAUAGUAAAACUGAGGACUUGUUAAAAGAAAGGAGUAAAAUGAACUGAAUUCUGUUUAGAAGAUAAAUUGCUGGGGUUAAUAAGAAGUUGUACACCAAACUUAAAGGGGAAAUUGUGGGAAUAAAGGAUAUGCUUUGGGGAAAAUAGUGAAGAUUUUAUGAGUAGAAAAUGUGGGAUUUCUUUUUGAUUUUUAGGAUAAGUUGUAACAGUGACAUAAUGUUAGAAUGUUGUUAUAAUGUAGUAAAUAGAUUUAUUUUUAGGGUAGAGGAGAGCUUUUUAUGAGGAUGUUAAAAGUCUCGCUGACUCAAAUGAAUAAUAUUGGAGAUUAUAUAUGUAGAAAUGAUUUUUCAUACACAUUGCAUUUUUGUGCCUUUGAUGGAGUUGUGGCUCAGAGAGUCGUCUCUUGAGGGUCACAAACUUUUGGUUAACGUUAUGAUUAGCCAAUCUACUGUGAGAAUGACCUGAGUUAUUGAAGGAUUGCACACGCUUACAGACAUAUAGAGUUCAUUAAGACCUGACAGUAUUGAUUCCAGGCAAAAGCCUGAAAUCCAUUUAGCAUUUAACUGAAUAGGAGUUUCGUUGGUAACUAAAUUGGGUGACAUGUAAAAUAUGGAGAUAACACAUGCAGUUCUAAAUUAGUCCUCUUAUAUAAAAUGCAGUUACAGGAUAACAAAUACUUGUUGAAGGGAUCAAGUUUUUGCUUUAAACCAGGUCCAAAGGGGAAAAGCUUAUGUAUUUUGGUUAAAACUGAUAAAAUAUAAUGACUGAUAAAAUAUAAUUAGAAUGUACCAUUACAUUAAAAGCAGCAAAAUGAAAUAAAAUGAUAUAUUCAAACAGGUUAUCACCCAGGAAAUGGGAGUUCAAAAUACUGUUAGAGUUCAGCUUUUAGCUAUGAUGAAAGUUAUUUAGGAGUAAUUGAUUAUAUGCUUAAACUUAGUUGAUUAAAAUGGUUGUUUUUCUUUGAUCCUUUCAGUAGAAUAAGCCCUUAUAAUGAUUUUAUGAUGAUUUUGCUUGUGAAAGGUGACUUUAGAUGAGAGGCCUUGCAGCAGUGGCAGUUUUGUGUACAGGAUGUUGAUGAUCAGAUAAGGAAAACAGGAAACGUAUGACAGCAGUGCUGUAAGACUGUUAGAAAGCUGUAGAUUGAGAUGAGUGAUGUUUAAGAUUAUAUAGGAAUAAAAGUCAAAAACCAAAUACAAAAUUAGGUUCAUGCUUUGAGUAAUAUUAGCUGGAAUCAGGUUUGAAUAAAGUAGGGGGAGAGUGUUUUCUAUCCUUUACAGGAGAAGAUUUCCACGAGAGAGGGACCAAGGACAACCUGACUUUACCCAUGGAGUGUUCUUAGGGGGAGCUGGCAUUUCUAGAGAGGGUCAGAGUAAUGUUAUAAGUGUAUGGUGACCCUUUUUAAGGGUCACCAAGAGAGGGAGUAUCGAGAAUAGAAAUAUUUUACUGCUAUUAUUUGUUGCUAUUUUAUAAUCGUCAUUACCAUUUCAUGGGAUGUUGCAUUCAGAUGCACUCAGAUGUUCAAAAUAUAUUGGUAUUAUAUUAGUCUUUAUUACAGGUUCAGUUAUAAUCAGUUGAAUCUAUAAUUUAAAGGUUUUCGAAUGUUUUAUAUUCUUACACAUAGUCUUCAGUGGGGGAGAAACUGAGUUGCAGGCUGACAGGAAACGGUGUGCUUUUGCAAAAGUGAAACCAAAACCAGAG
ensembl:lncRNA